AUUUAAGUAGUUUAUAAAAAAUUUUGAUUUGUGGUGUCAAAGAAAUGGUUUUCAUCUUAAAUA
rnacentral:tRNA from 1 species